rnacentral:rRNA from 1 species
AUUGAACGCUGGCGGAAUGCUUUACACAUGCAAGUCGAGCGGCAGCGCGGGGCAACCUGGCGGCGAGCGGCGAACGGGUGAGUAAUGCAUCGGAAUGUACCCAGUCGUGGGGGAUAACACAGCGAAAGUUGUGCUAAUACCGCAUACGUCCUGAGGGAGAAAGCGGGGGAUCGCAAGACCUCGCGCGAUUGGAGCAGCCGAUGUCAGAUUAGCUAGUUGGUGAGGUAAAGGCUCACCAAGGCGACGAUCUGUAGCGGGUCUGAGAGGACGACCCGCCACACUGGAACUGAGACACGGUCCAGACUCCUACGGGAGGCAGCAGUGGGGAAUUUUGGACAAUGGGCGAAAGCCUGAUCCAGCCAUUCCGCGUGAGUGAAGAAGGCCUUCGGGUUGUAAAGCUCUUUCGGCAGGAACGAAACGGUCGUCUCUAACAUAGAUGGCUAAUGACGGUACCUGAAGAAGAAGCACCGGCUAACUACGUGCCAGCAGCCGCCGCAG